GAGAACAUUGAUUAACACUAAUCAUCAGCUCUUUGUGUACAGCACAGCAGGAUGAAGGUGAAUGUCAUCUUCCAGGCAAGAUAAAAGUGUUUAAGGAAAGACCAACUGCAGCAGUGCCUAACUCGGAAAAAGAGCCAGCGUCUGUGAAACUUGGUUCUUUGGCCUUGCAGCAUCUGCCUCUCAUCCUCCAGAAGUUGAGGAGUGUGAAGAAUUGGGGAGGAUGAUGCUACCCACAAAUUCAUCUAAAAGCCCAACUGAAUUCAGAAGUUGUUGGAAUCCCAGUGGUCAAAGGUCUUAUUCCUUCUGCACACUAGGAAUGAUUCUGACAUGAAUCAGGAUUAUCUUUUCUACAUUAAUUUGUUGCUGUUUGUUGGUUAGGCCAUGUUCAGGCCUGUUCUAAUUCUUGUGUCAAUUGUUCUAACAUUGAAAAUAUUUAUAUAUCAGUACAUAUAUAUAACUACAGAGUUCGUGAUUUGCAUGUUUUUUUUUGCAUGUUAUUCUUUAAAAGUUUGAUAUGCACAUGAUUUACAGAUGCAUGAAGCUGUAGAGUACUCAUGUACUGUAGAACAUACCACAUCAUACCACACCCCUAAUAUUAUAAAAAUUCUUAACAUGUGUUCUAUGGGUUUGCAUGCAUUUACAUUACUAUUAAUUAACACAUUUACAUUUUUCUGUGUUAGGUAGGCAUAAACCACCAGCAACUCUCUCAAAACCAGACAGGCGUGAUGAAUACAGUGCUACUUCAUCUCCACGGCCAGAUCGGUAUAUGGACAUGUACGCGUGCCGACUCGACUGUAAAGAUAUGCCUGUUCCUGAUCAGUGUUAUUGUUUUUCACCAAUUCCCUUUAAUCCAGUGAGGGUUCCUUUGCCAGUACCUCCAGAGUUGUUUAAUUAUCUACAAGCAAGACCACAUCUCCAUUAACACCAGUGCAUGAAACCGUUUUCUGUCAGUUGACCUCUGCACAGUCUACAGACUCUACUUCUCCCUGCAGCUGCUGUCCAGUCUUUCUCAGGACUCCCUGCAGCCUCUUCUGGGUACCCCUCAACUCAAAGUGACUGCCCUUAUGUCUCCUGUUUCUGAAUGUAUGCAUUGUAAUUAUUGUAACAUAAAAAUAUAACUCUGUAUUUUGAUUGUUAUGGAUAUCUGUUUAAUGCAGAAACCACUGUGGUAGUUUAUUAAUUUUGGCACAAUCCUAUUUAUAACUGUACUGUAUACAUUCACAUGGGCAGUAGGAUUCAUCUGUGUUUAACUGAAAAAGUACUGUGCAGCCUGAUUAAGCCUGUUUCUGUUUCUUAAAACUGUCACUUAAUUUCAUAGAUUGAUUAUUUAUUUUGGUCAUCUUGAGAUAUUUCCAGUAUGUGUUCAUUCAAUAUAAUUGCCUUUGUUCACAUUUUUGUGCACUUAACAUGUUUAUAUUCUUGUGGUAGAAUGAUUGUCUUAUAAAAUU